UAUGGAANCAAUCCUGGCAGUGCUGCUUG
rnacentral:piRNA from 1 species